rnacentral:rRNA from 1 species
UACGAAGGGGGCUAGCGUUGCUCGGAAUCACUGGGCGUAAAGGGUGCGUAGGCGGGUCUUUAAGUCAGGGGUGAAAUCCUGGAGCUCAACUCCAGAACUGCCUUCGAUACUGAGACUUGAGUUCCGGGAGAGGUGAGUGGAACUGCGAGUGUAGAGGUGAAAUUCGUAGAUAUUCGCAAGAACACCAGUGGCGAAGGCGGCUCACUGGCC